rnacentral:misc_RNA from 1 species
GAUGAAGAACGUAGUGAAAUGCGAUAAGUAAUGUGAAUUGCAGAAUUCAGUGAAUCAUCGAAUCUUUGAACGCACAUUGCGCCCGCCGGUAUUCCGGCGGGCAUGCCUGUUCGAGCGUCAUUUCAACCCUCAAGCUCUCCGGAGUUUGGUGUUGGGGAUCGGCGUGCCCUCGCGGCGCGCCGUCCCCUAAAUCUAGUGGCGGUCUCGCUGUAGCUUCCUCUGCGUAGUAGCAACACUCGCACUGGAUCGCAGCGCGGCCACGCCGUUAAACCCCCCACUUCUGAAAGUUUGACCUCGGAUCAGGUAGGAAUACCCGCUGAACUUAAGCAUAUCAAUAAGCGGAGGA